GAUGGGCCUGCGCACCAUUAGCUAGUUGGCGAGGUAACGGCUCACCAAGGCGAAGAUGGUUAGCUGAUCUGAGAGGAUGAUCAGCCACACUGGGACUGAGACACGGCCCAGACUCCUACGGGAGGCAGCAGUGGGGAAUCUUGGACAAUGGGGGAAACCCUGAUCCAGCGACGCCGCGUGGGUGAUGAAGGCCUUCGGGUCGUAAAGCCCUGUCGGGAGGGAAGAAACUCCUGCCGGUGAACAAUCGGCGGGAUUGACGGUACCUCCUAAGGAAGCACCGGCUAACUCUGUGCCAGCAGCCGCGGUAAGACAGAGGGUGCUAGCGUUGUUCGGAAUUACUGGGCGUAAAGGGCGCGUAGGCGGUCCGCUAAGUUCGGUGUGAAAUCCCCUGGCUCAACUGGGGAACUGCGCCGGAAACUGGCAGACUCGAGUACCGGAGAGGAGGGUGGAAUUCCUGGUGUAGCGGUGAAAUGCGUAGAUAUCAGGAGG
rnacentral:rRNA from 1 species